rnacentral:tRNA from 2 species
CGGGGCGUAGCUCAGCCUGGCUAGAGCGCCUGGUUUGGGACCAGGAAGUCGUAGGUUCGAAUCCUAUCGCCCCGA